rnacentral:rRNA from 1 species
CAGCGAUACCAUGCAGUCGAACGGCAGCAUGAUCUAGCUUGCUAGAUUGAUGGCGAGUGGCGAACGGGAGAGUAAUACAUCGGAACGUGCCCUGUAGUGGGGGAUAACUAGUCGAAAGAUUAGCUAAUACCGCAUACGACCUGAGGGUGAAAGUGGGGGACCGCAAGGCCUCAUGCUAUAGGAGCGGCCGAUGUCUGAUUAGCUAGUUGGUGGGGUAAAGGCCCACCAAGGCGACGAUCAGUAGCUGGUCUGAGAGGACGAUCAGCCACACUGGGACUGAGACACGGCCCAGACUCCUACGGGAGGCAGCAGUGGGGAAUUUUGGACAAUGGGCGAAAGCCUGAUCCAGCAAUGCCGCGUGUGUGAAGAAGGCCUUCGGGUUGUAAAGCACUUUUGUCCGGAAAGAAAUGGCUCUGGUUAAUACCUGGGGUCGAUGACGGUACCGGAAGAAUAAGGACCGGCUAACUACGUGCCAGCAGCCGCGGUAAUACGUAGGGUCCAAGCGUUAAUCGGAAUUACUGGGCGUAAAGCGUGCGCAGGCGGUUGUGCAAGACCGAUGUGAAAUCCCCGAGCUUAACUUGGGAAUUGCAUUGGUGACUGCACGGCUAGAGUGUGUCAGAGGGGGGUAGAAUUCCACGUGUAGCAGUGAAAUGCGUAGAGAUGUGGAGGAAUACCGAUGGCGAAGGCAGCCCCCUGGGAUAACACUGACGCUCAUGCACGAAAGCGUGGGGAGCAAACAGGAUUAGAUACCCUGGUAGUCCACGCCCUAAACGAUGUCAACUAGUUGUUGGGGAUUCAUUUCCUUAGUAACGUAGCUACGCGUGAAGUUGACCGCCUGGGGAGUACGGUCGCAAGAUUAAAACUCAAGGAAUUGACGGGGACCCGCACAAGCGGUGGAUGAUGUGGAUUAAUUCGAUGCACGCGAAAACCCUUACCUACCCUUGACAUGCCACUAACGAGCAGAGAUGCAUUAGGUGCUCGAAAGAGAAGUGGGACACAGGUGCUGCAUGGCUGUCGUCAGCUCGUG